GCCAAACGCAAAUGAAUCUCAGACAAAUUCUGCUUGUCAUAACUCUAUUCAUUGUGCUCUUUGGCCUAAUCUUAUCAUUGUUAAUAGUUCCGUAUGAUUCAGACACUGAUUUGGAUACUCGAGGUCCUCUGACUGAGUUUCCUAAACAAGAAAUGAUACUUCACAUGCCUGAAAAUGAAUAAUCUAGAAUAUUUCAUUAACAUUCAGCUGACCAGUUUUAAAUAAGAGCAGUUGGGAUUGCAUUCAAUUAAACUGGAGUCUAUAAGAGUGUCAUGAGGCAAGAUGGAGUUUCUUAUUGAAGGUGAAGGCCAAGCAAGACCAGCGACAGCAUCAUGACAGAGCAUCUCAUGGAACUAGUGAUCUACAAAAUACUUUGGAAGUCCUAGUACAGUUUGAGCUUGUGCAGAAAAUAUGGAGCAUUUUAAAUUGACCAAUCUUAAGUAAGUGAAGAAGACAAAGUUGGAAAGGAAAUGAUUCAGCACAAGAAGACAGCUCUAACUCCCUAUGAUUUCAUCUCUGACCAAUCGGCUCUCCUGGAACACUGGCUUCCCCCACCCACCAAGUUAUCCUUAAAAACUCUGCUCCCCAAAUGCUCAGGGAGACUGAUUUGAGUAAUAAUAAAACCCUGGUCUCCCGCACAGCUGGCUCUGUGUGAAUUACUCUUUUUCUAUUACAGUUCCCCUGUCCUGAUGAAUCGGCUCUGUCUAGGCAGCAGGCAAGGUGAAUCCCUUAGGCAGUU
rnacentral:lncRNA from 10 species